AACGCUUCACAAAAGAAGAUAUACGAAUGGCCAAUAAGCACAUGAAAACAUGCUCCAAGUCAUUAGUCAUCAGGGGAAUGCAAACUAAAGUCACAAUGAGAUACUACUACACACCCAUUAGAAUGGCUAAAUUUAAAAGACUAACGAUGACAGGUUUUUUUGACAAGAAUAGGGAGAAACCGGAACCCACAUAUGUUCUUAGUGGGAAUGUACAAUGGUGAACCACUGUGGACAACUGGCAGUUCCUUAAAAGUUAAAUAUACAUCUACCAUAUGACCCAGCAAUUCUACUUUUGGGAUUUACCAAAGAGAAAUGAAAAUGUACAUCCACACAAAGACCUGUACACUAGUGUUCAUAGCAGCUUUGCUCACCAUAGCCAAAAACUGUAAGCAACCAAAAUGUCCAUCAACAGGUGAAUGGAUAAAAUUGAGAUAUAUCCAUACAACAGUGAAAUACUACUCAGCAAUAAAAAAGAACAAACUACUUACACAUGCAACAACAUGGAUGAGUCUCAAAAUCUUUAUACUGAAUGAAAGAAACUAGACACAAGACAGUAUAUACUGUAUGAUCCUACUUAUAUAAAAUUGUAGAGAAUGCAAACUAAUCUGUAGAGACAGAAACUAGACAAGUGGUUGCCUAGGGGCAGGGCCAGAGGGAGAGACAAACUGUAAAGGGGCACAAGGAAACCUUUGGAAGUGAUGGCAAUGUUCUGUAUUUUGAUUGUCAUGGAAGUUUAAUGGAUGUCAGCCUGUCAAAACACAUCAAUUGUAUAUUAUAAAUGGAUGCAGUUUGCUGCACGUAAAUUAUAUCUCAAUAAAUUUGCUAAACAUAUUGGGUAAAAGGAUAGCAGACGCAUGAGGGGAAAAGAUGAAGUCUGCAGAGAGAAGCACAUGAACAAAGGAACAGAAGUAUGAAUGCGUCUAUGCUUUAUCUUGGAAUAGAGUUUACAAAUUCCCUCGAGGCAGCAACCUCGUCUUGCUUUAUAUCUACAGUCCUCUCAGUGCCCAGAAAUAGGGAUGGCAAUGAUGUUUCUGAGUUGCAUGGAGUCUAUUCACUAUAUCCUCAUAGGUAGCUGUUUGAAGAGUGCUAGAUCUACUAUCAGAAGACUGAGUACAAAUCCCAACCCUUCAUUAUCCUUCAAAGACCCACAGGAAGUCAUUUGACCUCUCAAAGCCUAAUCUGCAGAAUGAAAAUCAUAAUAUCCACAUAAUACAGUUGUUGCAAGGGUUAAAAUAAUACAUAUGAAAGUGCCUAAUAAUAUUUUAGUAUGUGCUACAUAUCCACGACAAAUAAUGAGACUGCAAAACAUAUCUGUUGAUUGACAUACCAACUGUAAUUUGGUUAUUCAUAUACUCAAAUCUCUUAUCUGCAUAAGUAUUACCCAUGUCAAAUGAUUUUCUUAAUCAGAGACACGCUUCUGUAUCACUUCCGUCAAUGAAGUGCUCCAGAAAUUAGAGUUGAUUUUAAUAUUAGGUUGGGAAGAAUACAAUUACCAAAGUAAAUUUGUUCCUCAAAAAAUCACAUAAAGCAUUCCAAAGUAGGAGUGACUUGGGGAUUAUGCAUUGUUUCUAGAUUAUCUAUGCCACUGCUCGCUAUUAGUGCAGUCAAUGGAGAGUAAACUAUUGUCUAAACAAAAAGUAAACAAACAAAGGAUAAACAAGUGGUGGGUAAAUGUGGUCCCAGUGUGAAGAUUUCAAGGAGAAGGGGCAAUAAUAGAUACAGCAAGGGCAUCUGACUGAAAAAAAUCAAGACUUGGAGGAGACUCUUUAAUACAGUUGCUUAGAAGAGGAAAUGCGUGUUUAGGAAAAUUGCUAGAAGAUUGUCUUUAAGAGGUACUCAGACACAUUUAGUAAGGGGAACACAGGCAUCCCUUCUCCAAGAAAUAAAAAGGAUAAUAUAAUCAUCUUUCAAAGACUGAUUCAUAUGAAUGUUUGACUGAAAUGACAAAUUAUAGAAGAGAGCAGUUCUAUUUGUUGAGAAAUUCUGCGACUGAAGACUUCAGAUGAGCUUUGGUAUUCCUCCGUGUUCCGCAGUAUACUGAUGAAGAACUCCCUAUGACAUAUGGGGAGAUGUGGGUUGCUCUUCAAUACAUUUUUGUUGGUAAAUAAACUUCUUUCUUUUACUUUUAGGGGUCAGCAAACAACAGCCCCUAAGCCAAAUCCAUCCUGCUGCCUAUUUUAUUGAUUUAUUAAUCCAGAUCCACCCAUUUGUUUACUCCUGUCUAUAGCUGCUUUUUCAUUACAAGAGCAGAGUUGAGUAGGUGCAACAGAAAUCACAUGGCUUGCAAAGCUUACAAUAUUUACUCUCCGGCCCUUUAGAGAAGGAGUUUAACAGCCCCUUUUUCUAGAUAAUACAAAGUUAGAUCUGGACACUGGAAUAUCUGCAUUGAUGUUAUAUCAGGAAUAGGGGAGGUCUGCUUACAAGAAUAGUGAGAACGGCACAUUGGACUUAAAAGAAAAAUAUCCAUGCAAUAAUAUGAAUCAACAACAAAAAUGAACAAAGAAGGAGUCAAAUACGUUUAGCUCUUGGGUCCUCAAACCACCUCAUACCAUACAAUCCUAUUAAAGCUAAAAUCUUUAGGGAGACUGAUUAAAGUGAAACUUGUGAAGAAGAGAGUUAAGUACCUUAUCAGCUGAACCAAAAAUGUCUUGCCAAAUUUCUCUUUCUCUGGCAUAAGAUAAAUUGAAUCAACUGUCCUUUUUACUCACAAGGCAAAAUCAUAUCUUAGUUUGGUAAUGGUUAAUUGUUAAACUAUGCUCAAUGCCAGAUUUUCUUCGGAUGUAAUGAGAUUCACUCAGUUAAGGUGCAGAGGGGGUAAUGUGGUACAGUGCAAAAAGCUCUAGCUUUGGAAGAAACAAACUGGCUAAGCAUCAGAUCUUGGCUCCACCUUUAUGAGUAAAGUGGAAAUAAUAAUUCCUCGGUUAUGGGGUUGCUGCGAGGAUUAAAUGUGGAAUGUAAACACAACCCAAGCACAAAGUAGCCACUCAAAUAAAUGUUAUGACUCCUCUUCUCCAUCAGUGUUCUAGGGCAAUCAUAUUAGUUAAGAUGGUUAUUAUCUCAAAAUCCCAGAGUGAUAUUAACUGCUACUGCUUUCUAGAAAGACCUUUUAAGGUGUUUAUUUGGUAGAAGAGAUUUUCUAGAUUUGGCUUUAAUUUGAAUUUUUACCUAGAUAUAUGAUCUUUGUCUCUUCCUAGAGAAGUAAGUCAUGUUUCCAUACGUUGUGGAAUACCUGCUAUGUUUUCCUAACAACUCUAUAUUCCUUAUGCUGAUUAUGCAAGCAUUUGCAAAAUUAGGUUUUUUUCUUUUUAAGGUAUGUGUUUUUUUGGAGAAGAAUAUUGGCCCUGAGAAAACACCUGUUGGCAAUCUCCCUUUUUUUUCUCCCCAAUGCCCCAGUACAUGGUUGUGUAUCCUAGUUGUAAUUCACUCUAAUUCUUCUAUGUGGGAUGCCACCACAGCAUGGCUUGAUGACCGGUGUGUAGGUCUGCACCCAGGAUCCAAACCAAGCGAACUCCAUGCCACUGAAGCGGAGUAUGUGAACUUAACCCACUCGGCCGUGGGGCUGGCCCCACAAAAUUAAUUUUAAAUCAUUUUUCUUGGGGGGAAAAAAGCUCUCUAGAGGGUUUUUUUUCUCAUGGUGUUACUGGGAUCCUUUUUAAAACUGAAUUCUCUAAUCUUUCCUGAAACCAUUUCACUAAGAUAAAGGAAAAGCUUUUCAAACACUACAAUUCAUUUAGUAGUUUUAUGGAAGAAAUUGUGCAAUGAAUUCAGAAAUAGAAGUUCAGUUUCAGUGUGCCACUUAAGUAGAACCAACUAUGAGGCAAUCUGUGCAUCUCUGUUCUUGUCUCAUUGAGGGGCAGGAUUCCUCUUCUCUCCGUGACUGAAUCCUGAGGCCUGGAGCUGCUUGUGCCAGAAAUGGCAUGAGACUAAGUAGAGAGGAAAUCUUCCAUCCUAAGACUGAUUUUCAGCUUUGCUGGUUAACAUAGCCCCAUUUAUCACCUGACCUUUAAAAUUUGGGACUCUCUUUGCUUUGAUUUGUUCUUCUCUUGUAAGUUACUCCUUUGUACUUGAAACUGAGUCUGCUGCCGCCAAACCCUUCCUGCUAACUUGAACUUCUGGUCCUGUUCCGUCCAGACAGCCCUGGUCUAUUGCUAUCCAUAUCCCAGCAUGGCCCUGGGUUCUAGUCUAACCGUGAAUACAAUGGGAAUUCCGUGCUCUCAGGCAUUCUGCACAGAUCUCCUAAAGACAAAAAGGCCACCAUUGGAGAUACAAACACCAUUCUAAUUUGCAAGCAGAACAGAUUUUCUUAUCGCUGACCUUACUAAAGGUAAUCUAAAUUGUGGUUUUAAUCAAACUAUUUCUGUAUCAGUUUAAAAUAGCCAAUCUAGAAAUUACCAUAAAUUUUAAAUCUUAAAAUUUUUUUCAUUUAGAAUAGUAUGUGGUCUGGAGAAGGAAAAGUAUGGCCACACAUACAUUCUUAGAAGAAGCUGAAAAUAGCGAAGAAAGAGAAGAUUACUACAUACCACCUGACACAUGAAAAGCCCACCUAGAUACAUAUAGGGACUCACAAAUAACACUCAAGAAGCUUAACACAAAACCUGAAGCUGUGAACCAAUCAUGGUAUUUCUUAAUCUUUCAGUAAUAAAAGACAGUUGUGAUCUUCAAAAUGACUCUUUCCUUUUUCCAUGUCACCCAAAGGUUGUGUGUUCAGCUUACUCUUUAGUGCUUGCCUGUCAGAGCAUUGUUCCAUGACUCACUGGGGACAAUGCUCUCCAGCAGCACUGAAAAUGACAGUAUUCCCAUUAGUGGAAUAAGCCACUUUGCUCUGGUUUUAAAGAAUGACCAGCGAAGUGAACAAAAUGGUGUUUGUAUAUGUGUAUAUUUGGGAGAGGGCACCCAAGAUGGCAGUAGAAUAUUUAUCUUUAUCUUUAUAGUUUCAUAUUAAGCUUUUAUUUCAUCAGAUUGAUUACAGGAAAGUCUAUCAUUUCUUCACUUAACAGAAGUGAGACUUUGCUUUCUAUUCCUAAAAUAUGUACUAACUUGUGACCUAAUAAUCUAUACAGUAAAUAGUGCAAUAUCCCCCCCUCCCCUUACCCAGAGGUCAGUAUUUCUUCAACCUCAACUUCCUAGAGCCCAUCCUAGCAAGCAGAAGGGGGCAGAUCACAUGUUUUUGAACAUUCAAAGCAGCAAGCUGGAUGUCUCCACAAAAGAUCUAUGCAACUUAUCUCAUACCAUUUCAUCUUAGAGUCCCACUCAGAACUGUAUAUUGACUCCCUUCACUGACAAUUUGUGAUGAGCUUGGCUAACUGUUUCCCCAGGUCUGAAGAUGUUUUGGAGUAACAAACUACGAGGGAAGUCGAGGAGCUAUUGAGGGGCAGGCACAAGAAGAAUGGAAAAGACAACCACCAAUGGCUGAAUAUUGAAAUGACUAGAAAGCAAAAAGCAAAGAAAGACUUUUGAGAGCAUAGAAUUCAACCAGAGCAGUUCCUCUGGGGUGGCCCUUAGCCAUCAAGUGGGUUAGGUGAAGAAAACUGUUUAAAGAAAUUGAAAAGGCAGAAGUUGUUGUGAGGCUAGCAUAGGAAAACAUUUGUUCUUAUGAAAAUUUACUUAUAUGGAAGAUUUUGUUCCUAGAAAAAAUAGGACAGCUGAAGAAUUGCUAAUAUAAUUGAAGAGGGGCUCAUUAGCACUUUAUCUGGCCAUUUUACACUAUUUUCUCUCUUGCUCUUGCAUGUAGGGUCUACAUACCCAGAGAGGGCAAGCCCAUGUGGCUUUUGCCCAGUGCAUGAAUACGUAGCAUAAGCACAAUCAGGUGCUUAAUGAAUGUCUGCUGCUGAUGAUGAUCAAGAGCUUAAUAACAGGGUCUUCUCUGAAGCCUGAUUAAUGGGGCUUCAAGUUAAUAUCUUUUUCAUUCUCUCUUUGCACUCUUUUUGUGUGCGUGGGUGUAGAGACACUAUAAAUUGAACAUUCAUUGAAAGAAAAAAGUAUAAUAUUCUAUUUAGAAGUAGGUAGAUAGCUUUGUCAGAAUAUUCACUGAUGGUUAAAGAGGAUUUUAUUCCUAUGACUCAUUCUAUGAUUUGGACAUAAUUUAUCUUAGCCAAUCUCUACUUCCAAGAUUUUCAUAACCACAUUUGCUAUUUGCAAGAUUUAAAUGGAUCUGCAAAGUUGAGAGAUCCUUGGUUCAAUCAGAAACCAUAUUUAUUACUUUUGCAAUAAUUCACCUGUGUGCCAGGAAACCAAGAGGUGCUGACAGCUACUGUGAUCCUACGGGUCUGCCGUGCCACAAAGGAGGACAUUUAAGUCUCUACUUGAACAUAGCAUUCCAUGGAAACUCUUCUCUCUAUGCUAACAGAUGAAGACUCUUCAGUCUUAGGCUUUCAUCUAAGAGUUACUCUUGUCUCUCAUCACCAUUAAGCCAAACAUAAAAACAAGAAAACCAGCCUCACCCUAAACAGGGUUCCCUUUACCAAUUUCUUUGCUUCUGUCCACUGAACCAUCAUUCUUCCAGAUUUAAAAUAUGGGAGUUAUCUUUAAUAUGCCCCCCACCUCCCUCCCCAAACUCAUUUUUAGUUACAAAGUCCUAUUGCUCCUCUGUAGAACAUGUGUCUUUUAUCUGUUCCUUCCUCUCCAAUUUCCACUAUUGUCUUGGUCUAAGUUCUGUGCCUGCUCACCUCCUGGAUAACUCCAGCAACUUCUCUACUAGCCUCCCUCUCUCCUAUUUCUUCCCCCUCCAAGCCAUCUGGAGUUCCAUUAGCAGAAUAUUCUGCUUUAAAUUCCACUUUUUUUUGUCUUUCCCUACCCCAAAAUCUUCAUUGGCAACUUAUCUCACCAUUUCAUAUCUAUAAGAUCAUGCACAUGAGAAAACUCCAGAAGCAAUAAAACUUUAUAGAAUUAUUGCUGUUAGCAAUAAUGACUCUUCCUGGAUUUUAGAAUAUGACAUAACAUGAUCCAUCUUCCCAGAAGCAGAACCUGAUUUGAAACUACUGGUCAACAUUCCACCUUCGGCUCUGGUUAGGUCAGGCUCAUCACUGUCAAUGAGCAUGCCCUGCUCUCCCCUCACCACACAUUCCCUCUAGAACGAGUGAAACACAGAGGCUGACUGGUAGGAUAGGUGGGAGUUUUUUAUAUUGUGAAAUGAUCGGACAUACAUGGUUUGUCCAAGAGCUCUGCUCUUGACCCUAUCUUAUUUAUUUUAUUAAAGCCUCGGAUAAAAAUAGAUUAUAUUCUUACCAAAUCUGCAGAUAUUAAAAGUAGGGGAAAAAAUGAAAGCUAUGUCAGACAACAAGAUCAAACUAUAAAGAGAACUCCAAUAGGAGGCCAAAAUGAAGAGCACAAAAUAUGACAGAAAUAAGUUUUGAAUGCUUGGUUCAAAACCGCAACUGAACUGAAUGGGGGAGACCUCACCUCAUAUAAUAAUUAUUCUUAAAUAUUUCCGGGGGAAGAAAUCAGGCUGAGGAUGAGGGUGUGGGGAAUUGAGUGAGGGGGAACAGAUUAUUUAGAAAGGAAACAGAAACGAAGCCAACAGUUUGGCUUCCAGAGUAACCAAAGCACACUUAGGCUGUAUUAACAGAAUUAUGUUGUCUAGAACAAAGAAGAGGCUAAUUACAUGAGAUUCUCCACUGGUUGGAAAGCCUGAAAAUAUUUUCAAUUUUGGUUGCCACAUCAAUUAACAAACAAAUACAUGAAGAAUUGUUAAGGAUGUAGAAAUCACAUAUAGUAUAUAGAUUUCUUCAUGUUUACCUUGAAAGGGGGACAUUAAGAAAGGAUAUAAUGUCUGCACUUUUAAGAACUAUCCUGAAACAGAAGGAGUAGAAUUAUUUCCUGCAGCAAAAGAGGGAAGAACUAGACCCAUUGGUGAAAGUUUGGAGGAGGUACAUUUCGGCUCAAUAGAAAAAAAAAAUUUCUAUCAGUAAAAGGCAUAAAUCAGUGGAAUAUGUCUUCAGCGAUCACUUCUUGUGACUAGACAUGUUCAAGUAUAGACUGAAUGACAUCAUCGCAGGAAUGCUUUUUGGCAUUCUUAGAGCGCAGAGAGUUUGAGCAGAAGGUUCUCCUUUCAUCUCUAAAGUACGAUAUAGCUCCCUACACUUAUAAUACCCUCUCUUCUCCCAUCUUCAUACAAAACUGAUCACAUUUGCUCCCCAUUUAUAGACAUCUCUGCCUUUCUCACUGGCCUGGGAGCUCCUAGAAAGUAGGGAUUCUGUUUUUUAUCUAAAUAUUGCUGGCUUCUAGCACAGUUCCUAAGGAACUAAAGUAUUCAAUAUAUUUCACUAUAUUAUAAAAUUCUACCUGGAAAAAUCCUACCUGCCCUUCAAAGUCCGGCAGGUGUUCCCACUUUUCAUAGGAAGCCUUCCCUGGUCACUCCUGUAACUCUUAUAUCCUGUGCCACACAAUUUGCCACAAUGUAGUUCUCUAUAUUUUUCCGUGUAUAAUGUUGUUUAAGGUAUCCCUUAUCUAUCUCCCUGAGUAGACUGUCAGUUCUCAGUGAACAAAAGAAUGCCAUUUAAAAAUUAUGCCAACUCCUUAUCACUGUGCUCAGCACUGAAUUGAUAAGUGAUAACGUGCUUGCUGAUUGGUUGAAAAGCAAUCUAGAAAAUUUUAACAUUAAAAAAUCAUCUUCCACUUAUUAAUUACAAAGAGAAAAAACUUUAACUUUAUAGUGGAGAAAUGUGGCAGACACUACCUUAACGAAGUGGUCAAAAUUAACAUCACCAGUAAGACAACAUAUUGACAUCAUUGACCCUGAUAUGAGGUCAUCAUCUCUUCUAUAGUAUUCUUGCCAAAAAUGAGUAACCUCAAUCUAAUCAUGAGAAAACAUCACAUGAAUCUAAACUGAGGGCCAAUCUACAAAAUAUCUGACCAGUCGUACUCUUUGGAAGUGUCAGGUUCAUGGUGGACAAUGAAAGACUGAAGAAUUGUCCCUGAUUGAAAGAGAUGAGGAAGCAUGACACUAAAUUCAAUGUGGGAUCCCCGACUGGAUCCUGCACUAGACAAAGGACAUUAAUGGGAAAAGUUGAGAAAUUCUAAUUAGGUCUGUAGAUUAGUUAGUGGUAUCACAACAAUGUUAAUUUCCUGGUUUUGAUAAUUGCACUGUGGUUAUGAAGAUAUUAACAUUAGGGGAAUCUUAUAUUAGAGGAACACUGUACUCUUUUGCAACUUGUCUAUAAGUCUAAAAUUGCUUCAAAAUAAAAAUUUAAAUAAAUCAUAUUUUGGUUUUCAUCGACCAAUUGACAAGAGAACAGUACCUAUGCAAAGUUUAUCACUGCAAAGAAGGAAUGGUCAUUAGUGAUAAAGAACUUGAGUGUGGAUCCAAACAACUAAGACAGCUACCUUUAACCGAAACAAAAAGGUACAGUCAACUCGCAUUCUUUGCAGUAGUUAUGUUCUAUAGAGUUGCUGUGAACACUGAAUUAGUGAAUCCUGAAGAAUUACUCCUAGGGGAAAUAUAGGGUUAGUUUCCUGCAAGCCUCUGGUCAUGUUUUCACCAACCAAAGAUAGUCUUGUUUUAUGUGUGUUUUUGUUUAAAGAGACUUUAUUUAAUAUAUAUUGUUGAUUCAUUAACGUUGAGCUCACGGCCAACAGCACUAAAUUCAUGCCUGAAUGACACCUAUCUAACAUGCAUAUUUUCUCCCUAAGGCACAGGACAGCUUUUUGUGCUUAGGAACACUAGACAGCACUACAACACUAUACCUGGGGGCCUCUUUAAACAGUGAAAUCAUGAACAAAAAGUGCAAAAAUGCGAAAAAUGUGGCACUAAAUAGAUCUUCAAAAUGACACAGUAUGAGAACUUUAAAAAAGCGGCAGAGUGUUGCCCUGUUUGACCUCAGCUGGGAAUGUGUGCAUCUGGUGGCACAAAGUUUUCUCUGCUUUGCGCAUUCUGCAAAUGGCCAUGAAAAUACUACCUUAAUUUGGGUUUACAAAUAAAUAAAUUUUAGUGAGUUUGUGAAUGUGCAAAUAUGGAAUUCAUAAAUAAUGAGGGUUGAUUGCACCUUUAAACACAUCCAAUGAUCGUGAACUUAUAUGCCCUUUCCUUUAGCGAAUAAGAGAAUAAGUAUAAUUUUGUAUUUGAAAUGAUAAAUUGAAUCUUUGAAAUAUUAGAAAGUGACUGAGCAUUCUUAAGUUUAUCAGAACCUGGCAGAAAGAGUGGGGCUUCUUCACUAAGACUUGCCCAAUUUUAGUAUCACAACUUUCUUAGAGAUGGAGAAAGUUCAUGGAAAUUUGUCUCUGAACUUUCAUUCAUCUGGGGACGUUUUAAUUCUAUCACUUAGUUCUAUCUCAGUUUAUGGUCUUCUUCCCCACUCUGUCUACAUGGAGGGCCUUUCUAGUACCCUAGCCUCAUCAAGUCCAGUGAUAUUCGUCUCAUUUCCAUUUUAGUCAUCAGUACAUAUGGCCACAACCUGAACAUCAUCAUUAUCUGGAAGUGCUUCACCUUCAGGAAAUCCUCUCUUAAUUAUCACAUAGCCACUCCUCACUUCUAUUGAAUCUAUUCAAUUUCUAAUUAUGAUAUAGAAACUCCAAAAUUCCUACAUAUCCCCCCAGCUAAUCACUCUCUUCUAGCUGCACUUAAACUUGAUCUCUGUUUAGUCGGUAGCACUGGUGAAGUCAUUCCCAUGAUGCUUUCACUAGCACCCCAAGAUCUGUUAUCUUUUGACCUUUACAUCUUUUCAUUUUCCAAACUAUGAUCUUGGUAAUCACCAUUUGUUUCCUCUGCUUCCACUCCUGGUCUGCCAAGUAUUUCUGCAAAAACACAAAACCAUACUAUUUAAAUCCAAAAUAAGUUAAUUUACUCAAUCAACCUUUAAUGAGUUCUUACCAUUUUUAUUCUUACUUAUCUACUGUUGAAUUCCAAUCACAUGGACAGGAUAUACCAAAUAUUCCCUCCUUUCUACACACAUGGCCAACACUCCAGUUCAUAGUGAUACAUACAUCACCUGAGUCUAUGGUAGUAAGUUCUUAACUAGUCUCCCCACAUCUUGUCCCGUCCACUUUAUAAUUAAUCAUCUUAAAGUAGAUAGUUAAUUAACCUACAUGUUCCCCAUGGCUAACUGACGAAAUUCUAAACACCUUUACAUGGCAUUCCAGUCCCUCUAUGAACUGAUUUCAGAUUACUUGUAAAGCCUUUUCUUCUAUUAAAUCCACUCACAAACUAUGUCAAAGCCCAAAUGGACUAUUUCUGUUCCCAAAUAGAUCCUACUUUUCCCUAAUCAAGUCCCUUAUUUACACUUUUCCCUUUAUCAGGAAUGUUUUGUCCCUAAUCUCUGUCCCUCAAAAUCUUACCAACUCUUCAAGCCCCAGCUCAAAAUACAUCUCUUCCAUGAAAUCUUCCCUGAUUCUAUACUUGGAAAUAUCAUCUUCCUCUGACUCGCCAUAGCACUUUGGGAUUGUAUUUAAUGCACUUGUAUUUCUGAAGAAUUAUUUUGUAAUUAUUUUAUUCUCCUGACUAUAUUUCAAAAUCUUUGAGGGCAGGAAAUAUCACAUCUAUCUUGCAUUCACCACAGCACUUGGCAUAAAUGCUCAGGAAAGUACUAUUUAGUAUCCAAACAAAUGAAUGUGAGAUAGAUACACACACACACACACACACAUAUAUAUAUACCUAACAUGCAUAUGUACAUAAU
rnacentral:lncRNA from 1 species